CCCCGCCUUCUCUUCCCGUUUGUCUUUCACUAUAGAUAAAGAGUGCAUGGGACUCCAGGCGGCCAUUAGCUCCCACAAGCUCUGGUUCCACCUGGUCCCAACUUUCAAGAAUAGUCUUAGUUUGUUCAUCUUUUCUUCAUCUCCAAAGCUCUCCCGAGCUUCGGACCCUCGCUGUGCAGGCAUCCUAGGUUCUGUCGUGCUGAGCCUGAGGUUCGGGGAGAGCACACGCAGAGCAGCAUGGAUGUGAGAUGUUCCG
rnacentral:lncRNA from 1 species